rnacentral:rRNA from 1 species
GACCUGCACGAAUGGCGUAAUGAUGGCCAGGCUGUCUCCACCCGAGACUCAGUGAAAUUGAACUCGCUGUGAAGAUGCAGUGUACCCGCGGCAAGACGGAAAGACCCCGUGAACCUUUACUAUAGCUUGACACUGAACAUUGAGCCUUGAUGUGUAGGAUAGGUGGGAGGCUUUGAAGUGUGGACGCCAGUCUGCAUGGAGCCGACCUUGAAAUACCACCCUUUAAUGUUUGAUGUUCUAACGUUGACCCGUAAUCCGGGUUGCGGACAGUGUCUGGUGGGUAGUUUGACUGGGGCGGUCUCCUCCUAAAGAGUAACGGAGGAGCACGAAGGUUGGCUAAUCCUGGUCGGACAUCAGGAGGUUAGUGCAAUGGCAUAAGCCAGCUUGACUGCGAGCGUGACGGCGCGAGCAGGUGCGAAAGCAGGUCAUAGUGAUCCGGUGGUUCUGAAUGGAAGGGCCAUCGCUCAACGGAUAAAAGGUACUCCGGGGAUAACAGGCUGAUACCGCCCAAGAGUUCAUAUCGACGGCGGUGUUUGGCACCUCGAUGUCGGCUCAUCACAUCCUGGGGCUGAAGUAGGUCCCAAGGGUAUGGCUGUUCGCCAUUUAAAGUGGUACGCGAGCUGGGUUUAGAACGUCGUGAGACAGUUCGGUCCCUAUCUGCCGUGGGCGCUGGAGAACUGAGGGGGGCUGCUCCUAGUACGAGAGGACCGGAGUGGACGCAUCACUGGUGUUCGGGUUGUCAUGCCAAUGGCACUGCCCGGUAGCUAAAUGCGGAAGAGAUAAGUGCUGAAAGCAUCUAAGCACGAAACUUGCCCCGAGAUGAGUUCUCCCUGACUCCUUGAGAGUCCUGAAGGAACGUUGAAGACGACGACGUUGAUAGGCCGGGUGUGUAAGCGCAGCGAUGCGUUGAGCUAACCGGUACUAAUGAACCGUGAGG